AGAGUUUGAUCAUGGCUCAGAUUGAACGCUGGCGGCAGGCUUAACACAUGCAAGUCGAGCGAGAAAGGCCUUCGGGCUGAGUAAAGCGGCGGACGGGUGAGUAACGCGUAGGAAUCUACCUGGUAGUGGGGGACAACAUGUGGAAACGCAUGCUAAUACCGCAUACGCCCUACGGGGGAAAGCGGGGGACCUUCGGGCCUCGUGCUAUCAGAUGAGCCUGCGUUAGAUUAGCUAGUUGGUGAGGUAAAGGCUCACCAAGGCGACGAUCUAUAGCUGGUCUGAGAGGAUGAUCAGCCACACUGGGACUGAGACAUGGCCCAGACUCCUACGGGAGGCAGCAGUGGGGAAUAUUGCGCAAUGGGGGCAACCCUGACGCAGCCAUGCCGCGUGUGUGAAGAAGGCCUUAGGGUUGUAAAGCACUUUCAAUUGGGAAGAAAGGUUGUAGGUUAAUAGCCUGCAGCUGUGACAUUACCUUUAGAAGAAGCACCGGCUAACUCCGUGCCAGCAGCCGCGGUAAUACGGAGGGUGCAAGCGUUAAUCGGAAUUACUGGGCGUAAAGCGCGCGUAGGCGGUUUGUUAAGUCGGAUGUGAAAGCCCCGGGCUCAACCUGGGAAUUGCAUUCGAUACUGGCAGACUAGAGUACGAGAGAGGGAGGUAGAAUUUCUAGUGUAGCGGUGAAAUGCGUAGAUAUUAGAAGGAAUACCGGUGGCGAANGCGGCCUCCUGGCUCGAUACUGACGCUGANGUGCGAAAGCGUGGGGGAGCAAACAGGAUUAGAUACCCUGGUAGUCCACGCCGUAAACGAUGUCUACUAGCCGUUGGGGAACUUGAUUCUUUAGUGGCGCAGCUAACGCACUAAGUAGACCGCCUGGGGAGUACGGCCGCAA
rnacentral:rRNA from 1 species